AGCGAACGCUGGCGGCAUGCCUAACACAUGCAAGUCGCGCGGUCAGCAAUGGCAGCGGCGGACGGGUGCGUAACGCGUAGGAACGUGUCCUGAGGUGGGGGACAACCCUGGGAAACUGGGGCUAAUACCGCAUAUGGGCUGAGGCCCAAAGCCGAAAGGCGCCUAGGAGCGGCCUGCGUCCGAUUAGCUAGUUGGUGGGGUAACUGCCUACCAAGGCUCCGAUCGGUAGCUGGUCUGAGAGGACGAUCAGCCACACUGGGACUGAGACACGGCCCAGACUCCUACGGGAGGCAGCAGUGGGGAAUAUUGGACAAUGGGCGCAAGCCUGAUCCAGCAAUGCCGCGUGGGUGAAGAAGGUCUUCGGAUCGUAAAGCCCUUUCGACAGGGACGAUGAUGACGGUACCUGUAGAAGAAGCCCCGGCUAACUUCGUGCCAGCAGCCGCCGUAA
rnacentral:rRNA from 1 species